UUGCUCUCAGCAAAGCGGUCAAUGUGACAGAAUCUAAAUCUGUCAGUGUGGGUUCAAAACCCGCCAAAGAUGAAA